AGAGUUUGAUCAUGGCUCAGAAUCAACGCUGGCGGCGUGCCUCAGACAUGCAAGUCGAACGAUUAAGACUUCCUUCGGGAAGUGCAUAAAGUGGCGCACGGGUGAGUAACACGUAAGUAAUCUACCUUCGAGUGGGGAAUAACGUCCGGAAACGGACGCUAAUACCGCAUAAUGCAGCGGCAUCGAAAGAUGACAGUUGUUAAAGGAGCAAUUCGCUUGAAGAGGAGCUUGCGGCAGAUUAGCUAGUUGGUAAGGUAAUGGCUUACCAAGGCUACGAUCUGUAACCGGUCUAAGAGGACGGUCGGUCACACUGACACUGAAUAACGGGUCAGACUCCUACGGGAGGCAGCAGUCGGGAAUUUUGGGCAAUGGGCGAAAGCCUGACCCAGCAACGCCGCGUGAAGGAUGAAGUAUUUCGGUAUGUAAACUUCGAAAGAAUAGGAAGAAUUAAUGACGGUACUAUUUAUAAGGUCCGGCUAACUACGUGCCAGCAGCCGCGGUAAUACGUAGGGACCAAGCGUUGUUCGGAUUUACUGGGCGUAAAGGGCGCGUAGGCGGCAUGACAAGUCACUUGUGAAAUCUCCGGGCUUAACUCGGAACGGUCAAGUGAUACUGUCGCGCUAGAGUGCGGAAGGGGCAAUCAGAAUUCUUGGUGUAGCGGUGAAAUGCAGAUAUCAAGAGGAAUACCUGAGGUGAAGACGGGUUGCUAGGCCGACACUGNNNCUGAAGCGCGAAAGCCAGGGGAGCAAACGGGAUUAGAUACCCUAGUAGUCC
rnacentral:rRNA from 1 species